GCCCCAGUAGAUCAAUGCAGAUCAUCCCUCUCCAGUUACUGGUUUUGUAUAAAUGGAAAGGGAAACUGGAGGUUUGAAUCCUCCCUGGGGCA